rnacentral:rRNA from 1 species
CAACCUGCCUAUAACUAGGGAAUAACCUUGCGAAAGUAAGACUAAUACCCUAUGAUUUCCUUUGAUGACAUCAGAUUAGGAAUAAAGAUUUAUCGGUUGUAGAUGGGGAUGCGUCUGAUUAGCUUGUUGGCGGGGUAACGGCCCACCAAGGCAACGAUCAGUAGGGGUUCUUAGAGGAAGGUCCCCCACAUUGGAACUGAGACACGGUCCAGACUCCUACGGGAGGCAGCAGUGAGGAAUAUUGGUCAAUGGGCGGAAGCCUGAACCAGCCAAGUAGCGUGCAGGAUGACGGCCCUAUGGGUUGUAAACUGCUUUUAUACAGGAAUAAAGUUAGCCACGUGUGGUUAUUUGUAGGUACUGUAUGAAUAAGGACCGGCUAAUUCCGUGCCAGCAGCCGCGGUAAUACGGAAGGUCCAGGCGUUAUCCGGAUUUAUUGGGUUUAAAGGGAGCGUAGGCCGUCUGUUAAGCGUGUUGUGAAAUGUAGAUGCUCAACAUCUGAAUUGCAGCGCGAACUGGCAGACUUGAGUGUGCGCAACGUAGGCGGAAUUCGUGGUGUAGCGGUGAAAUGCUUAGAUAUCACGAAGAACUNNNAUUG